rnacentral:rRNA from 1 species
UUGAGCGCUGGCGGCAUGCUUUACACAUGCAAGUCGAACGGUAACAGGUUAAGCUGACGAGUGGCGAACGGGUGAGUAAUACAUCGGAACGUGCCCGACCGUGGGGGAUAACGCAGCGAAAGCUGUGCUAAUACCGCAUACGAUCUACGGAUGAAAGCGGGGGACUCGCAAGAGCCUCGCGCGGACGGAGCGGCCGAUGGCAGAUUCGGUAGUUGGUGGGAUAAAAGCUUACCAAGCCGACGAUCUGUAGCUGGUCUGAGAGGACGACCAGCCACACUGGGACUGAGACACGGCCCAGACUCCUACGGGAGGCAGCAGUGGGGAAUUUUGGACAAUGGGCGAAAGCCUGAUCCAGCCAUGCCGCGUGCAGGAUGAAGGCCUUCGGGUUGUAAACUGCUUUUGUACGGAACGAAAAGACUCCUUCUAAUAAAGGGGGUUCAUGACGGUACUGUAAGAAUAAGCACCGGCUAACUACGU